AGCGCAACCCUUGUCAUUAGUUGCUACAUUCAGUUGGGCACUCUAAUGAAGACUGCCGGUGACAAACCGGAGGAAGUGGGGAUGACGUCAAGUCCUCAUGGCCCUUAUAGGUGGGGCUACACACGUCAUACAAUGGAUGGUACAAAGGGUCGCCAACCCGCGAGGGGGAAGCCAAAUCCCAUAAAGCCAUUCGUAGUCCGGAUCGCAGUCUGCAACUCGACUGCGUGAAGUCGGAAUCGCUAGUAAUCGUGGAUCAGAAUGUCACGGUGAAUACCGUUCCCGGGUCUU
rnacentral:rRNA from 1 species